rnacentral:rRNA from 1 species
ACACAUGCAAGUCGAACGGCAGCGGACCUUCGGGUGCCGGCGAGUGCGAACGGGUGAGUAAUGUAUCGGAACGUACCUUUCAGUGGGGGAUAACGUAGCGAAAGUUACGCUAAUACCGCAUAUUCUGUGAGCAGGAAAGCAGGGGAUCGCAAGACCUUGCGCUGAUUGAGCGGCCGAUAUCAGAUUAGCUAGUUGGUGAGGUAAAGGCUCACCAAGGCGACGAUCUGUAGCGGGUCUGAGAGGAUGAUCCGCCACACUGGAACUGAGACACGGUCCAGACUCCUACGGGAGGCAGCAGUGGGGAAUUUUGGACAAUGGGGGCAACCCUGAUCCAGCCAUGCCGCGUGAGUGAAGAAGGCCUUCGGGUUGUAAAGCUCUUUCGUCCGGGAAGAAAUCGCAUCAGCUAAUACCUGGUGGGAUGACGGUACCGGAUAAGAAGCACCGGCUA